UACAGAGGUCUCAAGCGUUGUUCGGAUUCAUUGGGCGUAAAGGGUGUGUAGGUGGCGCCGUAAGUCGGGUGUGAAAUUUCGAGGCUUAACCUCGAAACUGCAUUCGAUACUGCGGUGCUUGAGGACUGGAGAGGAGACUGGAAUUCAUGGUGUAGCAGUGAAAUGCGUAGAGAUCAUGAGGAAGACCAGUGGCGAAGGCGGGUCUCUGGACAGUUCCUGACACUGAGGCACGAAGGCCAGGGGAGCAAACGGG
rnacentral:rRNA from 1 species